rnacentral:lncRNA from 1 species
GAAUUGGGAGGAUCGGACGGUGUAGAAGGACUAGGGUUUGGAAUGGGAAGAGGGAUUAAGAUGGCGGUGAUCGGAGAGAAUCCCAAAAACAAAGUCAAGGGUUUCACUUCACUACUUAUAGAGUUAUAGUUUACUCUGCUUAUAUUUUAAGCCAAAUGAAACGUUAACCUAAAAAUCUAAUUUUGAACAAAAAAGCUUAACGG